GAUGAACGCUGGCGGCGUGCCUAAUACAUGCAAGUCGAGCGAACAGACGAGGAGCUUGCUCCACUGACGUUAGCGGCGGACGGGUGAGUAACACGUGGAUAACCUACCUAUAAGACUGGGAUAACUUCGGGAAACCGGAGCUAAUACCGGAUAAUAUAUUGAACCGCAUGGUUCAAUAGUGAAAGACGGUUUUGCUGUCACUUAUAGAUGGAUCCGCGCCGCAUUAGCUAGUUGGUAAGGUAACGGCUUACCAAGGCAACGAUGCGUAGCCGACCUGAGAGGGUGAUCGGCCACACUGGAACUGAGACACGGUCCAGACUCCUACGGGAGGCAGCAGUAGGGAAUCUUCCGCAAUGGGCGAAAGCUUGACGGAGCAACGCCGCGUGAGUGAUGAAGGUCUUCGGAUCGUAAAACUCUGUUAUUAGGGAAGAACAAAUGUGUAAGUAACUAUGCACGUCUUGACGGUACCUAAUCAGAAAGCCACGGCUAACUACGUG
rnacentral:rRNA from 1 species